rnacentral:lncRNA from 1 species
CGGCGUUCGCAGAUUUGGAUCUAAGAGCGGGCUCAGACCUGAAGGCUCUGCGCGGACUCGUGGAGACCGCUGCUCACCGAAAUUGAAAAGCCAGUAGCAGUUUCUGAGCUCUUCACAACUUUACCAAUUGUACAGGGAAAAUCAAGACCAAUUAAAAUUUUAACUAGAUUGACAAUUAUAGUUACAGAUCCGUCUCACUGUAAUGUUUUGAGAGCAACUUCUUCAAGGGUCCGGCUGUAUGAUAUUGUUGCAGUGUUUCCAAAGACAGAAAAACUUUUUCAUGUUGCUUGUACACACUUAGAUGUGGAUUUAGUCUGUAUCACCGUAACAGAGAAAUUACCAUUUUACUUCAAAAGACCUCCUAUUAAUGUGGCGAUCGAGCGAGGCCUGGGCUUUGAGCUGGUCUAUGGUCCUGCUAUCAGAGACGCAACCAUGAGAAGAACGUAAUUCUGUCCAGUGCUGCAGAAAGGCCUUUGGAAAUAAGAGGACCAUAUGACGUGGCCAACUUAGGGCUGCUGUUCGGGCUGUCCGAAAAUGAAGGCAAGGCUGCCGUGUCCACAAACUGCCGAGCUGCAUUUCUCCAUGGAGAAACUAGGAAAACUGCUUUUGGAAUUAUUUCUACAGUGAAGAAGCCCCGGUCAUCAGAAGCAGAGGAUGAAUCUCUUCCAGCGUGCAAGAAAGCUAAACAUGAGGGCUGAGGAGACAGCCUGAGUCUCCAUCACGCUGCUCCUCCCCUCACAGCUCAUCAGUCACUGCAAAUACACUCCGCUCGGCUGACGUUUUCACUAAACUAGAAACCAAGUCUAUAAAAACAGCUUCAUAUUCAGACAUUAAAACAGCAAAUAAAACCCAGUGAAGCAUUUUUAAAGACUAACGAUUAAUUUAGAUAUACUUUUAAAAGAAAAACUAUUACCCUUCAUGUGAGUAAUGAAUAGCAGUAGGUGCACUGAAACAAGAUGUCUCGAUAUUGUAAAAUAUUGAAAAAUAAUAAAUUAAUGUUUUUUGUUCUUGG